AAGUGAAGCGGCAACAGCUCAAAUUUGAAAUCUGGCCUUCGGGUCCGAGUUGUAAUUUGUAGAGGAGGCUUUUGGUGCGGUGCCUUCCGAGUUCCCUGGAACGGGACGCCAUAGAGGGUGAGAGCCCCGUCUGGUUGGAUACCAAUCCUCUGUAAAGCUCCUUCGACGAGUCGAGUAGUUUGGGAAUGCUGCUCUAAAUGGGAGGUAUAUGUCUUCUAAAGCUAAAUACCGGCCAGAGACCGAUAGCGCACAAGUAGAGUGAUCGAAAGAUGAAAAGCACUUUGAAAAGAGGGUUAAACAGUACGUGAAAUUGUUGAAAGGGAAGCGCUUGUGACCAGACUUGGGCAUGGUUAAUCAUCCAGCGUUCUCGCUGGUGCACUUGGCCUGCCCAGGCCAGCAUCAGUUCGGUGCGGGGGAUAAAGGCUUCGGGAAUGUGGCUCCUCCGGGAGUGUUAUAGCCCGUUGUGCAAUACCCUGCGCUGGACUGAGGUUCGCGCAUCUGCAUGGAUGCUGGCGUAAUGGUCAUCAGCGACCCGUCUUGAAACACGGACCAAGGAGUCGUCCUCGUAUGCGAGUGUUCGGGUGUUAAACCCCUACGCGUAAUGAAAGUGAACGCAGGUGAGAGCUUCGGCGCAUCAUCGACCGAUCCUGAUGUUCUCGGAUGGAUUUGAGUAAGAGCAUACGGGGCCGGACCCGAAAAGAAGGUGAACUAUGCCUGUAUAGGGUGAAGCCAGAGGAAACUCUGGUGGAGGCUCGCAGCGGUUCUGACGUGCAAAUCGAUCGUCAAAUAUGGGCAUGGGGGGCGAAAGACUAAUCGAACCUUCUAGUAGCUGGUUUCCGCG
rnacentral:rRNA from 1 species